UAGGGAAUAUUGCGCAAUGAACGAAAGUUUGACGCAGCGACGCCGCGUGAGUGAUGAAGGUCCUCGGAUCGUAAAGCUCUGUCAAGAGGGAAGAAGUGUUGGUACUCUAACAUAGUAUCAAUUUGACGGUACCUCUGAAGGAAGCACCGGCUAACUCCGUGCCAGCAGCCGCGGUAAUACGGAGGGUGCAAGCGUUAAUCGGAAUUACUGGGCGUAAAGCGCGCGUAGGCGGGUUUGCAAGUCAGAAGUGAAAUCCCCGGGCUCAACCUGGGAAUAGCUUUUGAUACUGUGGACCUUGAGUUCGGGAGAGGGUGGCGGAAUUCCAGGUGUAGGAGUGAAAUCCGUAGAUAUCUGGAGGAACAUCAGUGGCGAAGGCGGCCACCUGGCCCGAUACUGACGCUGAGGUGCGAAAGCGUGGGUAGCAAACA
rnacentral:rRNA from 1 species